rnacentral:rRNA from 1 species
UUUUAAUUGAAGAGUUUGAUCAUGGCUCAGAUUGAACGCUGGCGGCAGGCUUAACACAUGCAAGUCGAGCGGUAGCACAGGGGAGCUUGCUCCCUGGGUGACGAGCGGCGGACGGGUGAGUAAUGUCUGGGAAACUGCCUGAUGGAGGGGGAUAACUACUGGAAACGGUAGCUAAUACCGCAUAACGUCGCAAGACCAAAGAGGGGGACCUUCGGGCCUCUUGCCAUCAGAUGUGCCCAGAUGGGAUUAGCUAGUAGGUGGGGUAAUGGCUCACCUAGGCGACGAUCCCUAGCUGGUCUGAGAGGAUGACCAGCCACACUGGAACUGAGACACGGUCCAGACUCCUACGGGAGGCAGCAGUGGGGAAUAUUGCACAAUGGGCGCAAGCCUGAUGCAGCCAUGCCGCGUGUGUGAAGAAGGCCUUCGGGUUGUAAAGCACUUUCAGCGAGGAGGAAGGUGGUGAUCUUAAUACGUUCAUCAAUUGACGUUACUCGCAGAAGAAGCACCGGCUAACUCCGUGCCAGCAGCCGCGGUAAUACGGAGGGUGCAAGCGUUAAUCGGAAUUACUGGGCGUAAAGCGCACGCAGGCGGUUUGUUAAGUCAGAUGUGAAAUCCCCGGGCUCAACCUGGGAACUGCAUUUGAAACUGGCAAGCUAGAGUCUCGUAGAGGGGGGUAGAAUUCCAGGUGUAGCGGUGAAAUGCGUAGAGAUCUGGAGGAAUACCGGUGGCGAAGGCGGCCCCCUGGACGAAGACUGACGCUCAGGUGCGAAAGCGUGGGGAGCAAACAGGAUUAGAUACCCUGGUAGUCCACGCUGUAAACGAUGUCGAUUUGGAGGUUGUGCCCUUGAGGCGUGGCUUCCGGAGCUAACGCGUUAAAUCGACCGCCUGGGGAGUACGGCCGCAAGGUUAAAACUCAAAUGAAUUGACGGGGGCCCGCACAAGCGGUGGAGCAUGUGGUUUAAUUCGAUGCAACGCGAAGAACCUUACCUACUCUUGACAUCCAGAGAACUUUCCAGAGAUGGAUUGGUGCCUUCGGGAACUCUGAGACAGGUGCUGCAUGGCUGUCGUCAGCUCGUGUUGUGAAAUGUUGGGUUAAGUCCCGCAACGAGCGCAACCCUUAUCCUUUGUUGCCAGCGGUUCGGCCGGGAACUCAAAGGAGACUGCCAGUGAUAAACUGGAGGAAGGUGGGGAUGACGUCAAGUCAUCAUGGCCCUUACGAGUAGGGCUACACACGUGCUACAAUGGCAUAUACAAAGAGAAGCGACCUCGCGAGAGCAAGCGGACCUCAUAAAGUAUGUCGUAGUCCGGAUUGGAGUCUGCAACUCGACUCCAUGAAGUCGGAAUCGCUAGUAAUCGUAGAUCAGAAUGCUACGGUGAAUACGUUCCCGGGCCUUGUACACACCGCCCGUCACACCAUGGGAGUGGGUUGCAAAAGAAGUAGGUAGCUUAACCUUCGGGAGGGCGCUUACCACUUUGUGAUUCAUGACUGGGGUGAAGUCGUAACAAGGUAACCGUAGGGGAACCUGCGGUUGGAUCACCUCCUUACC